CAGCACCUCAAGUGGUCAGGAUGAUUAUUGGGCCUAAAGCAUCCGUAGCCGGCUCUGUAAGUUUUCGGUUAAAUCUGUACGCUCAACGUACAGGCUGCCGGGAAUACUGCAGCGCUAGGGAGUGGGAGAGGUAGACGGUACUCGGUAGGAAGGGGUAAAAUCCUUUGAUCUAUUGAUGGCCACCUGUGGCGAAGGCGGUCUACCAGAACACGUCCGACGGUGAGGGAUGAAAGCUGGGGGAGCAAACCGGAUUAGAGACCCGAGUAGUCC
rnacentral:rRNA from 1 species